rnacentral:rRNA from 1 species
AGUCGAGCGGGGUCCAUCCAGUGGUAACACUGGUGAAGACCUAGCGGCGAACGGGUGAGUAUCACGUGAGAAACCUGCCCCGAAGACCGGGAUAACCCUCCGAAAGGAGGGCUAAUACCGGAUGCCCUCACCGGGCCGCAUGACCUGGUGAGGAAAUGGAUUCCGCUUCGGGAGGGUCUCGCGUCCUAUCAGCUUGUUGGUGAGGUAACGGCUCACCAAGGCUUCGACGGGUAGCUGGUCUGAGAGGAUGAUCAGCCACACUGGGACUGAGACACGGCUCAGACUCCUACGGGAGGCAGCAGUGGGGAAUCUUGCGCAAUGGGCGAAAGCCUGGCGCAGCAACGCCGCGUGGGGGAUGAAGGCUCUCGGGUUGUAAACCCCUUUCAGCAGGGACGAUUAUGACGGUACCUGCAGAAGAAGCCCCGGCCAACUACGUGCCAGCAGCCGCGGUAAUACGUAGGGGGCGAGCGUUGUCCGGAUUUAUUGGGCGUAAAGAGCUUGUAGGCGGCUUGGUAAGUCGAGUGUGAAAACUCCAGGCUCAACCUGGAGAUGCCAUUCGAUACUGCCAUGGCUGGAGUCCGGUAGAGGAGCACGGAAUUCCUGGUGUAGCGGUGAAAUGCGCAGAUAUCAGGAGGAACACCAGUAGCGAAGGCGGUGCUCUGGGCCGGUACUGACGCUGAGAAGCGAAAGCGUGGGGAGCGAACAGGAUUAGAUACCCUGGUAGUCCACGCCGUAAACGUUGGGCACUAGGUGUGGGUCCCUAUCGACGGGAUCUGUGCCGUAGCUAACGCAUUAAGUGCCCCGCCU